rnacentral:rRNA from 1 species
UACGUAGGGUGCGAGCGUUGUCCGGAAUUAUUGGGCGUAAAGAGCUCGUAGGCGGUUCAUUGCGUCGACUGUGAAAUCCCAAGGCUCAACCUUGGGUCUGCAGUCGAUACGGGUGGACUAGAGUUCGGUAGGGGAGACUGGAAUUUCUGGUGUAGCGGUGGAAUGCGCAGAUAUCAGAAGGAACACCGGUGGCGAAGGCGAGUCUCUGGGCCGAUACUGACGCUGAGGAGCGAAAGCCAGGGGAGCGAACGGGG